rnacentral:rRNA from 1 species
UUAAGUUAUUAAGGGCGCACGGUGGAUGCCUUGGCACUAGAAGCCGAUGAAGGACGUUACUAACGACGAUAUGCUUUGGGGAGCUGUAAGUAAGCUUUGAUCCAGAGAUUUCCGAAUGGGGAAACCCAGCAUGAGUUAUGUCAUGUUAUCGAUAUGUGAAUACAUAGCAUAUCAGAAGGCACACCCGGAGAACUGAAACAUCUUAGUACCCGGAGGAAGAGAAAGAAAAUUCGAUUCCCUUAGUAGCGGCGAGCGAAACGGGAAGAGCCCAAACCAAAAAGCUUGCUUGUUGGGGUUGUAGGACACUCUAUACGGAGUUACAAAGGACGACAUUAGACGAAUCAUCUGGAAAGAUGAAUCAAAGAAGGUAAUAAUCCUGUAGUCGAAAAUGUUGUCUCUCUUGAGUGGAUCCUGAGUACGACGGAGCACGUGAAAUUCCGUCGGAAUCUGGGAGGACCAUCUCCUAAGGCUAAAUACUCUCUAGUGACCGAUAGUGAACCAGUACCGUGAGGGAAAGGUGAAAAGCACCCCGGAAGGAGAGUGAAAUAGAACCUGAAACCGUGUGCUUACAAGUAGUCAGAGCCCGUUAAUGGGUGAUGGCGUGCCUUUUGUAGAAUGAACCGGCGAGUUACGAUUUGAUGCAAGGUUAAGCAGUAAAUGUGGAGCCGUAGCGAAAGCGAGUCUGAAUAGGGCGUUUAGUAUUUGGUCGUAGACCCGAAACCAGGUGAUCUACCCUUGGUCAGGUUGAAGUUCAGGUAACACUGAAUGGAGGACCGAACCGACUUACGUUGAAAAGUGAGCGGAUGAACUGAGGGUAGCGGAGAAAUUCCAAUCGAACCUGGAGAUAGCUGGUUCUCUCCGAAAUAGCUUUAGGGCUAGCCUCAAGUGAUGAUUAUUGGAGGUAGAGCACUGUUUGGACGAGGGGCCCCUCUCGGGUUACCGAAUUCAGACAAACUCCGAAUGCCAAUUAAUUUAACUUGGGAGUCAGAACAUGGGUGAUAAGGUCCGUGUUCGAAAGGGAAACAGCCCAGACCACCAGCUAAGGUCCCAAAAUAUAUGUUAAGUGGAAAAGGAUGUGGCGUUGCCCAGACAACUAGGAUGUUGGCUUAGAAGCAGCCAUCAUUUAAAGAGUGCGUAAUAGCUCACUAGUCGAGUGACACUGCGCCGAAAAUGUACCGGGGCUAAACAUAUUACCGAAGCUGUGGAUUGUCCUUUGGACAAUGGUAGGAGAGCGUUCUAAGGGCGUUGAAGCAUGAUCGUAAGGACAUGUGGAGCGCUUAGAAGUGAGAAUGCCGGUGUGAGUAGCGAAAGACGGGUGAGAAUCCCGUCCACCGAUUGACUAAGGUUUCCAGAGGAAGGCUCGUCCGCUCUGGGUUAGUCGGGUCCUAAGCUGAGGCCGACAGGCGUAGGCGAUGGAUAACAGGUUGAUAUUCCUGUACCACCUAUAAUCGUUUUAAUCGAUGGGGGGACGCAGUAGGAUAGGCGAAGCGUGCGAUUGGAUUGCACGUCUAAGCAGUAAGGCUGAGUAUUAGGCAAAUCCGGUACUCGUUAAGGCUGAGCUGUGAUGGGGAGAAGACAUUGAGUCUUCGAGUCGUUGAUUUCACACUGCCGAGAAAAGCCUCUAGAUAGAAAAUAGGUGCCCGUACCGCAAACCGACACAGGUAGUCAAGAUGAGAAUUCUAAGGUGAGCGAGCGAACUCUCGUUAAGGAACUCGGCAAAAUGACCCCGUAACUUCGGGAGAAGGGGUGCUCUUUAGGGUUAACGCCCAGAAGAGCCGCAGUGAAUAGGCCCAAGCGACUGUUUAUCAAAAACACAGGUCUCUGCUAAACCGUAAGGUGAUGUAUAGGGGCUGACGCCUGCCCGGUGCUGGAAGGUUAAGAGGAGUGGUUAGCUUCUGCGAAGCUACGAAUCGAAGCCCCAGUAAACGGCGGCCGUAACUAUAACGGUCCUAAGGUAGCGAAAUUCCUUGUCGGGUAAGUUCCGACCCGCACGAAAGGCGUAACGAUUUGGGCACUGUCUCAACGAGAGACUCGGUGAAAUCAUAGUACCUGUGAAGAUGCAGGUUACCCGCGACAGGACGGAAAGACCCCGUGGAGCUUUACUGUAGCCUGAUAUUGAAAUUCGGCACAGCUUGUACAGGAUAGGUAGGAGCCUUUGAAACGUGAGCGCUAGCUUACGUGGAGGCGCUGGUGGGAUACUACCCUAGCUGUGUUGGCUUUCUAACCCGCACCACUUAUCGUGGUGGGAGACAGUGUCAGGCGGGCAGUUUGACUGGGGCGGUCGCCUCCUAAAAGGUAACGGAGGCGCUCAAAGGUUCCCUCAGAAUGGUUGGAAAUCAUUCAUAGAGUGUAAAGGCAUAAGGGAGCUUGACUGCGAGACCUACAAGUCGAGCAGGGUCGAAAGACGGACUUAGUGAUCCGGUGGUUCCGCAUGGAAGGGCCAUCGCUCAACGGAUAAAAGCUACCCCGGGGAUAACAGGCUUAUCUCCCCCAGGAGUUCACAUCGACGGGGAGGUUUGGCACCUCGAUGUCGGCUCAUCGCAUCCUGGGGCUGUAGUCGGUCCCAAGGGUUGGGCUGUUCGCCCAUUAAAGCGGUACGCGAGCUGGGUUCAGAACGUCGUGAGACAGUUCGGUCCCUAUCCGUCGUGGGCGUAGGAAAUUUGAGAGGAGCUGUCCUUAGUACGAGAGGACCGGGAUGGACAUACCUCUGGUGUACCAGUUGUCGUGCCAACGGCAUAGCUGGGUAGCUAUGUGUGGACGGGAUAAGUGCUGAAAGCAUCUAAGCAUGAAGCCCCCCUCAAGAUGAGAUUUCCCAACUUCGGUUAUAAGAUCCCUCAAAGAUGAUGAGGUUAAUAGGUUCGAGGUGGAAGCAUGGUGACAUGUGGAGCUGACGAAUACUAAUCGAUCGAAGACUUAAUCAA